UGCCCCGUGGCUGAGUUGGUUACAGCGGUUGACUGUUAGUAAAUAACUGUUAAUUACAUUAAUUAACAUUUGCUACGUAAUAAUGAUCAGACGGUCGAGAGUUCGAGUCUCUCCGGGGCAG
rfam:Cryptococcus gattii WM276 chromosome H, complete sequence.